rnacentral:tRNA from 1 species
AUAAAAAGGUAAGCUAAGAAAGCUUUUAGGUUCAUACCCUAACUAUGGAAACCAAAAUUCCCCUUUUUA